GUCCACUUCCUGGUAGCACGUUGAUCAUUUGCAGAUGUUAUGCUAAGCUUUGUAUUUCCACAGGACAACUCUUUUAAAUGACUCGAAGCACAAAAAACUCCGUAGCAAAGUAAUUUAUUCACAUUUGCAUUUACAAAGCCGUUACAUAACUCGAAUUGUAAAUAGUCAUAUUAAACCUUCCUGAAGUGCGUUGGACUUAUAUGAACACAAGCUGCAAAGUGAGGCAUCCGGGCCACAAGGGGGCGCCACUACGCUGCCCGGUGCUUCAGCUAUGAGGCUAAACGAGGAAAUUGCUCAAUAAUUUUUAUUUUUCAAAAUGCAUGCGUCAAGCAGAAAGCUCAUGUUGACCUACCAGCCUUUAAUUGCACCAAUACUUCCCUGAUUAUAUUAACAAAAACAUCUAUGCUGUAUUUGCCUUUUGGAUGAACAUGUUAUGAGAUAUUGGCACAUUUUGGGGAGGUCUUUGGUAGGAGGAGGAGAUAGGAGGGGGCAGAAGGUCAUGAACCCCUGGCUUCACUCGAUAGCUGCUUGGAGGAAGUCUGCAUGUCUAGGACCUUGACAUGUCCCCCGUCCCCCCCAUGGUUGUUUUGUGUCUUACAACACUGUCAGGUCGAUGAUGGUGCCGUCAUCUUUAUCGUCCUCCGACCACAUGGCCCCCCCGGAGAACUGCUUGAGGUUUAUCAUCAAGCCGGGUUUUUGUCGUUCGGUACAUUGGCGCGGCUGUCCGGCACGUCUUCGCCUUUCCUCCCCUCCUCCUCCUCCUCCUCCUCCUCCUCCUCCUCCUCUUCGUCCUCGUCCUCGUCGCUCGCGCUCCCCCGGCUGUCCCCCUCCUGCUCCUCCCCUUCCUCCCCUUCCUCCCCCUCCUCUCCCCACUCCUCCCGCCCCACCCCCGACUCGGAGUCCUCCUCGUCGUCCCGGUCGGCCCAGAGGCGGACCCCCAGGUGGGUCAGGCAGGCGUCCCGCAGGAGCUCCCUCCCGCUGUCCAGGAGCUCCCUCCCGCGGUCCCGCAGACCCCCUUCCCCCAGCACCAUGUUGCUGACGGUGUACUCGCCGUCCGUCUGCUUGUUGAGCUUCUUGUAGAGGAAGAGGAGGAGCAAGACGAGGAAGAGGAGGCAGAAGAACAGCAGGAGCACCGUCUUCAAGCUGGUGGUCUCGUCUGUAACUGUCAUGGUUUGCGCCUGUAGGAGGGAAAUGGGGGGGCGACACGUGAUUGGAGGGUUUGAGUACCAGGGCGGGUUCAAGUGGGUUUCCGUGGUCACCAGCCCCAUCCAUCAUGGGGUGUGCCGGGCAAAUCCCCGAAUGGCUUAUCACAAACUAUUACAGUUAUUGUAGUGAGUACAAGCGCCCCGGAUUUGGGUUUGUUAAAUCUCGUUAGGAUUAUCACCCUCAAUGCUGCAAACGAGCGUCCAAUUAAUGUGGAGGCCUCUGGUAGCCAGGGCAAACUGACCCAGUUGAGAGGGGAUGCUGUAAGCAUCUUGUUGAUGGACUGCACUGGCUGUCGUUGUGGAGGAGCCUUACCUUGGUGGGUUGAUUCAUUGCAGAGCAGGGGAAGAGUGUCUCUAAGAGUGGGUCACUGCAGCAGAGAAGCGUGGCCCUCAGUGGAAGCCCUGCUGAUUGUUGCUGUGGUUGAGGUUAUGGUGGUAGUUCGUCUCGCUGACUCUUUUUUGCAAUGUUUUCCGAAACAGAAAAUCCAUCGAGGUUCACCUCAAUCCACCUCAGAGAUUCUGAAAAGGCCGUUUGGCUUUUGAUUAGUGAAAUAAAAUCAGGAGGCAAAGCUGUAUUUUUGGUUUUUUGUUGGUGCGUUUUUACUGCAUUUCUUCAGAACAUCAAUUAAAACAUAUUUUUUUAAAGUGAGAACGUUUCAUAACUAUUAGAAUAUUGACCAAAUGCCUUUUUCAAAAUGGAAAUGAAAUAGCGAGACAUCCAGAAAUCCCAUCCUACCCCAACCCUCUUCGAUGUACUGUACAUUACACUUUUAAAUGUCAAUUUCUCAAGACGUCUAAACUUAACAACAGCUCGCUUCCCAUUUGCAUUACAAGGUUAUUGGCGGCGCUUGCACAGGAAGUGUGUGAGUGUGUGUGGGGUUGAUUGUGCACGGCUGAGCACUGCGGUCAACUGGUAUGACAGGAAGCCAGCGCGCUUAAAUGUGAUUCUCACUUCUCAAAGACCUGUCGUUUCCUGCCUUAAUGGCUCGAGAUCAGAUCGGUCUGCCUGGCAUUCACGUUAAAUUUCAAUCCAAAAAGAGAAAGAUAUUGUAUGAGCAGGCAGAGUUUGGAAGUUAGAUAUUGUUAUUUGGUAGAUGCCUUCAGUGAUCUCUGAAAAUUAAGAUGCACUCUGGAGUAGUAGCAUGUUUAACCUCCAAUCAGAUUAAAUUAAAACCUAAUUAUUCACUCUAAACAGCCUGGGACAAGUCACACCAGAUCUGGGAUGACUUGCGAUGGUAGGGUGAGGAACCGAGAUGUGAAUGACUGAUGCACUCACAUACAAAACACACAAAGUUAACAUUCAAAAGAUUAAAAAAAUAAACUCUUAAACUGUAAAACUGUGUGCAUGAUAGCUCAUGAUUAAAGUCACUUACCGGUUGUGGUGGUAACACAUGUGGAAGAGUCCCAGGGAUAAAACUAGUCGAUUUGACUAUAAGGCAUGAUGGUGGAUAUGGGUGUGUGAGUCUAGCUGUGAAAAAAUGGUAGAGUGAGAGAACCAAUAAUGUAAAGCACCGCCAACACAAACACACUCUGUGGUUUUUUUAAGAAAGGGGCGUCAUAGCCUGAGGUCGACAACUAUGAGUUUGCAAGAGCAAAACUGAAAUCUGAAUCUGAACUAGUUAUGCCUCUUUGCA
ensembl:lncRNA